CUGCCUGGUGGCCCCAUCCCCCUGCCCUGCUGGAGAGGCGAGGCGAUGGCCCCGUUUCCCGUCCUGUGGGGCUGCGUGCUCCUGGCUGUCUGCAUGCUGAAUACAGAUGCAGCCCCGAGCUUGGUGGAGCAAAAGCCCAGGUGGGUCCUGGUACCUCGCAGACAGGCUGAAACCCUGCGGUGCAUCCUGAAGGAUUCCCAGUACCCCUGGAUGAGCUGGUUCCAGCAGGAUCUCCGGGGGCAACUACAGGUGCUGGCCAGUCUGCGGAGUACCGGGGAUGAGGAAGUCAUAAACCUCCCUGGAGCGAAUUACCGGGCCACACGGGUCAGUGAGAGCGAGCUGAGCCUACACGUGGCCAAUGUGACCCAGGGCAGAACACUGUUCUGCACCUGCAGGGGCGCCAUCGGCCCGCGGAUCUCCAUAACCUGCACAGAGGGCAUGAUGGCCCCCAUAGUGUUGGCUCGGCCCCUCUCAGGCGUGGUGGUGAACACCUGCCUGGCUCUAGAAGACAAGGACGACGAGGAGGAGGAGGUCGAGAGCCUGGCAUUUGGAUAG